GAUGAACGCUGGCGGCGUGCCUAAUACAUGCAAGUCGAGCGAACGGACGAGAAGCUUGCUUCUCUGAUGUUAGCGGCGGACGGGUGAGUAACACGUGGAUAACCUACCUAUAAGACUGGGAUAACUUCGGGAAACCGGAGCUAAUACCGGAUGAUAUUUUGAACCGCAUGGUUCAAAAGUGAAAGACGGUCUUGCUGUCACUUAUAGAUGGAUCCGCGCUGCAUUAGCUAGUUGGUAAGGUAACGGCUUACCAAGGCAACGAUGCAUAGCCGACCUGAGUGGGUGAUCGGCCACACUGGAACUGAGACACGGUCCAGACUCCUACGGGAGGCAGCAGUAGGGAAUCUUCCGCAAUGGGCGAAAGCCUGACGGAGCAACGCCGCGUGAGUGAUGAAGGUCUUCGGAUCGUAAAACUCUGUUAUUAGGGAAGAACAUAUGUGUAAGUAACUGUGCACAUCUUGACGGUACCUAAUCAGAAAGCCACGGCUAACUACGU
rnacentral:rRNA from 1 species